UACGUAGGGUGCAAGCGUUUAAUCGGAAUUACUGGGCGUAAAGCGUGCGCAGGCGGUUUUGUAAGUCUGUCGUGAAAUCCCCGGGCUCAACCUGGGAAUUGCGAUGGAGACUGCAAGGCUAGAAUCUGGCAGAGGGGGGGUAGAAUUCCACGUGUAGCAGUGAAAUGCGUAGAGAUGUGGAGGAACACCCGAUGGCGAAGGCAGCCCCCUGGGUCAAGAUUGACGCUCAUGCACGAAAGCGUGGGGAGCAAACGAGG
rnacentral:rRNA from 1 species